rnacentral:rRNA from 1 species
GACGUAGGGCGCGAGCGUUGUCCGGAUUUAUUGGGCGUAAAGAGCUCGUAGGCGGCUUGUCGCGUCGACUGUGAAAUCCCGCGGCUCAACUGCGGGUCUGCAGUCGAUACGGGCAGGCUAGAGUUCGGUAGGGGAGACUGGAAUUCCUGGUGUAGCGGUGAAAUGCGCAGAUAUCAGGAGGAACACCGGUGGCGAAGGCGGGUCUCUGGGCCAAUACUGACGCUGAGGAGCGAAAGCGUGGGGAGCGAACAGG